UCCAAAUACCUUUAUUUUAUUCAUUGAUUCCUCUACUUCCAAAAAAAACAUAUAAUUGAGAUGAGGUGGUGGGAGACACUACCCCACAUCGACUACUAGCAUACUAAUUGGCCCUUUUUCUAGCCUUACCUCUCCAAUACAAGUAUUCCUUUUGAAUUAAAUUGUAUGAAGGCUAAUGCUUUGCCCUCAAGAUCGCACAACGAGCUUCAAUUAAAAGAACAGAUCGCAUGAUAAAGCAUCAAUACAAGAACUCUAAGGGAAACACCUAGCAAACUACAUAUCCAGUCUAUUUGACGAGGAAAAUUAGAGAUUAAACAGAUAGUAGUGAUGUAUUUAUGGAGAGCGGCUGCCAUUCCACUUUUAAAACUCUGAACUUCAACACAGUAAUACUUCUCAGAAGAAAAUAUCAUGUUCCUUAUCUGGGAAACUUCACAAUUUAACACAGAUAUAUCACUGCAAAAUUUUCUUAUUAAUGGCAACCACGAGCCCAAUGCUCAUCCAAAUCAUUAACAUUUAAAUUUCGUCUGGUCUACAUGCACGGCUGGGGCCAACCUUACUAGUCCCUGCAAAUACAAAAACAAAUUGCUGAUAUGAUUUCUAUGAAUAAAUAAGGUGCAAAGCAGUGCCUGAUGCUAAACUUGUCGGAUGCUAAACUUGUCGGCACGUAUAUGAAAACAGAAGACACCAUUCACUCACACUCACACUCACACAUGCAUAUGAUGCUUACUUCGUAAUGUCAUCAAGGUGGUCAUCAAAGUCUACCACAUCCUCCCACUUCUUGGAUGAAAUAUAAUCCAAUAGAACAGCAUUUGCAGCUGGUUCCUUAGUUGUCAAUCGGCAGCCUACAUCUGAUCCAGCUAGCUUCCAGUUCUUGGAUGCAUCCCUUGUAUAAAGCUAGUACAAGAAGGGAACAAAUGUACUUAGACGCUUGACUGAAAAUUCAUUAAAUGGGGGGUAAAUUGGGCAAUUAGCAAAGUAAACAUAAAAAAUUGACGGAAUGACACCAUUUGAAAAUGUUAUGGCGAAACAACGUACUUUCACCUUGUCGCGUUUCAAAAGCGCGGCAUUUACUUUUACUAAAUGUGUCUAUUCUUAAGCGUGACAAGAUAGUUGUCAAGCUUCCAAAUAACAACAUUUAGUAAAUGUAGCGCUUUUGAAGCACGACAAGGUGAAAACCGAUCAACCAAUUCGUAAUAGUCAGUAAAACCGAUCGACUAAUUCCGAAAAUAAUAAGAAAAAUCUCAAAAUUGCCAAAAACAGGAGGCCUCAGCGAGAUUUUUUAUAUCUAGAGAUAUAGCGACACAAUGAUUGCUAUAGAGAAAACAACUUCUCGAAACUCCUAUAAAAAUUUGAGUGCAAUCCAAUGGUCGAAUCAAAUGCUAUGGUUUUUUUGAGCCGUUAUUCUGGUCUAACGCGACCAGACCUCCUCUUGGGCCUAGAACUGUCCCACUGAUCAUAAAUGCAUCUGCUAGGUCAUCCACGUAAUCUGAUUGAGGCAGAUCCUCAUUUAGUUAUGACAAACCCACACUUGACUGCUUAGAAUCACCCGUUAUCACAAGCUCGACUACAUCAUUGACAUUGAAAAAUAAAGGAGAACUACUGUAUGAAUAAUAACUUUCUGUUAUUUUAGUUGGAGUCUAUUUUUUAGUUUACAAGACAAAGAUGUAUAUUUUGACUCAAAAAACAUAUUUGAAAAAAAAAGUUCAUUAAAUAAUGGUUUUUAUGUGGAAAGGUCGACCUGUUAAUACAACUAGAUCCAACGGGGCGACCGGUUGAGUCAAAUGAUUGGACUUUUACCUUGUCACACUUUAGAAGCGCGACAAGGUGAAAGUGUGCUAUUUCACCAAAUCCUUUUCAAAUAGUGUCAUUCUGCCAAUAUUUAACAUUUAUUGUGCUAAUUUGACAAAAAACCUUAAAUGGGACCAUCAUACUAGGGUUCAUCUAUCAAUUAGUGAGUGGUAUGAGUUAAUGGUUGGCGCUAUGGUAGGGGAGCGAGAUUGUUUAAUUUUUUAACACAGCAGUGAACUAUUACAGAAUAAUCACAAAAGUAACUGUCGGAAUGCUAACAAAGGAGAAACCAAGAAAUUAAUGAAAUCUCAAAAGAAAAGUUCAUACAGAUAACUACACCAAAAACAUGUCAUGUUGCUGAUGGCAUGAAAAAGACCUUAGAUCAGUAAACACAGACAAGUUACUUGUUGCAUAUCUGUAAAAGGUAACUUAACAGAUGAUCAUUGAUAUUUCAACAUAUAUAUAAAUCACUAAAUAUGGAUAAACAAUUAAUUCUGGCAUGUAAGUAGAGUUAUAGUUAUUAUCAAUAGAGCCAUUAACUUCCUAUCAGACCAUAGAGCAGCAAUGGAGAGAUCACAUGAGAGUUUAAAAGAUAGUUGAAGAGAAGUAUCGAUGCCCCCAACACAAGGUAAUUUCAAGCUUCACACAGAUGCUGCUAUCUGCUCUGAUGCUCAGAAAACAGGAAUGAUGCGCAAUUCAUGAGCACAAGGGAAAUUCUUAAGCUAGUCACAACCAGAGGAGCGCAAGCAAGAUGAUUCCAGAAAUAGGAGAAGCAAUGGCAAUUGCAUUUUGGAAUCCAUACAGUAAGAAAUGCAGAUUACACAAGCCUCCUGGUGGGAAAUGAUUUUGUAAUAGUUGAUGCACAACAAGGAAUAACUGUCAAUUGAAUUCACUCUAUUGAUAGAGUACAUCGUGUGUUGCCUGCCUCCCUGGAACUUUUACAGGAUUCUAAUUGCAAAUGGGAAGCCAAUGGAGUGGCUCAUGACUUUUUUGAGAAUCAGCAUGCACACCAUUGAGAUUCAGACAACACAUUGUUUUUGUACCUCAUGUAAUGAAAGGUCUACUUUCCUGAAAAGAGUAUAUAAAAGUCACAAAUGCUUAGGCACACAAGUUUAUUUUGUUGACAGUUUUGGACCUAAUUUUCCCACAUGGAUCUUUUUCGAACUGUUAUUCACCAGAAUUAAAUGGAAUCGGUUUUUUAUUGCUCCUUGUCCUGGCAACAAGUAGUUCCUGUCAAAACCCAUUAGAGGUAUAACUCCCUCCCUAUCAAACACAGGUGCGUGCAGCCACAUUGAGAACUCAAUAUACCUCUAUUGGACAGGAACUCUCCACUAAAUCAAGUCCCAACUCCAUACAGUUUCUGAAAACAAGUCGGAGACCUCACAAAUCAAAGAUCAGAUUCUCAGCUGCUUUAGAUGAACAAGGAUUGAUGCAUGCAGCUAUAUGGUGGGUUAGCACUGCAUUACAAAAUGAUGAUUAAAUUCUCAAAUGUAGGUGAUACAAGAACUAAGAUGUUAUGAAUCAUGACAUCCUGCUACUGCAACUGACUAAGCAACAUUAUUCAUGCUCAUCUCUUGACAUGCCUGCUCUUUCGCACCAAGUAUCAUGUUUAUAUUACUCAAACUUCACUAUGAUUACAUAUACAGCCCUCUAGCCAUUUCCCCAGUACUUCUUUCCCUAAACCAUCACGUUCUCCUUUCCCUCUUUAUGACUGAUCUGUCUAGCUGAUAAUAAACAAUAUGUUCCUUCAAUUCCUAUUCUUGGCAUGUAUUCUAUCAAGCACAUCAAAGCCAGUGUAACAACCAUUUCCCUUCUUACCAGAACAAUCCAGCACAGUCCCUUCUCACAGAUGUUGCUUCCUUAAUCUAACUAACUAUCCCCAUAGGAUCUUCUUUCAUGCAAUUAACUACACUCAAUUCUGCCAACAAUUCAAAUGCAAUUGCCUACUACAGUUCCCAAUUUGUUUAACUCUAACCAGACCAUUUCUAAGCUCAUUAGUGAAUUAACACCCCAAUUGUUAUUGGACCAAAUUUUCCUUAGAUCCUUUUGUGAUUACAAACUAGUAAAAUUAGAUACAAAUGCAAACUGAGAGCUUCAUAUUCAAGUAAUAGCUAAUACUAGAAACAAUGUCCAAAUACUAACAUAUCAAGGACCCAAGUUGUCCAUAAACCAUAACACAGAACAAAUUCUCACACAGCACAACCCUCUCUUUUAUCUUGAUGGUUGUGUAGUGAUGCCAAGUCAAGCGGCUCAUGAAUGUGUUAGACUAGGCUUUAGCUCUCAGGAUAAGAAACUGUUCUUAGAGACUAUGCCUGGGGUUAUCAACACUGAUGUAAAUCAUUUGAAUUUGAAAUGGAAGCCUAUGUUUCUAUUUGAGAUUGAGAGAGAGAGAGAGAGAGUUCUUGGGGAAAAUUAAAUUCAGGCAAGGUUAUGUAUACAUUGAAAUUGGAGAGCAAAAAGCAUCAGACAUCAAGUAUAGUAGACUGGUAGGCUUACAGAAAACUUCACGUUGAUUUGCAUUUCUUUCAUUGUCACAAUGUGCAACAGCAUUUUUAGACACCCCUCAGUGCUCUUCAAUUAGUCUUACAGCAACCAUCAAAAUCAAAUAUUUUUUGAGACUCAUAAAGACUAAUAAAUUAUUAUUCCCCUAGAGUUCAUGCCACUAGAUGUCCUGUCAACUCGAAGAUGUUUGAACCUACAUUGCCAGAUGAGUAACAUUGUACAACCAAUUCCAUGCUAGAUUUGUUUCUUCCCCCUCUUUCCCUCCCAAACAGCCCAAAUCAGUAGAUAAAACACCAUGAAAAACAACAUAAAUUGGAUUAAUUCAUUCGUUGCAGAAUAAAUCAUAGGCAUGCCAUUGACCCUUGGCAAAGUGGCCAUAAACUAUAGUCCUAUCUGUGGAUAUAUCAAAAGCAGUGGUUCUAAAGCCACUCAAAAGGUUUUAGUAGAAUAAUGUAAUAUUUGGUGCAUAAUUUAUCUUCUCAGUCACUGCAUAGCCAACCAAAGGCUCUUUUAUGAUGGAACCACCACUUGCUAAAUGUUCCCAGCAAACAUUAGAUGUUUCAGUUCAUAAAUGUCUUCCAAAUAACACAACCGGGAUAAGACAAAGCUACUAACCUGCAUAACAGGGAGCCCAUCUUUCCCCUUUGGCAAAGCUUCAAGCUUUUUGUUAUCUAACUGCAUAGAAAAGGUUCAAAAUGAAAGCCAGCAAGAAACAACAGACAAGAGCAUCAUCAUCUACAACAGAAAGAAUACAUACCAAAAGAAUGGCAGCUUGGGGAAAGUAGCGAUAGAUGUGAUCGCCAAUAUUCUUUGCAACAUUACCAAGCUCCACAUCAUCAGACCUCUCAUUUGCGUGAAAGUAACCCACUAUACCCAAACCUCGAGCGCUAUAAUACUCCUCUAUCUAUUCACAAACAAUUCAAGAAACCCAUUUUUUUUUUAGAAAAAAAAAUUCAACAUUGUCAUCUCAUAAGUAUAAAUCAAUCCCUGAACUUUUGAAAUUAUAUCUAAUAAGUAUAUGUUAAUUACAUUGAAUUAACAAAGGAUCUUACUUUUAUUAACCAAAAGUGAAAAAGAAAAUAUUGAUUACUAGUUGUUUACCAUGAUGAGAGAGAUCUCGAGAGGAGGAAGGAGACCUAGGUGGUUGUGGAACAGAGGGACAGAGUCGAUGAUCUGGACACCAUCGUCACAGGAACUGCCAACGAAAACCCCGUUGACGGCGGAGGUUUUGUGCUUGAGAGAGUGGAGUACUAGUUUUAUGUAGGCGUUUUGUGAAAUCUCGUAUCUCAAUUCACCACCACUACCACCCAUCGUAUUUUUUCCUUCUCAAUUCGAGAAAAUUGCCUCGUAUCUUGGCUGGGUUUGUCUGUCUAUCGCUCAGUCUCAAUUCUCCAACUCUUUAGCAUUCCGUAAUCAGUCUUGGCUUAAUUCUUCGUAAUAGGUGUUUUUUCACAACAUGUAGCAACUAUAUAUUUCUUUAUUUUUUAUUUUUUUAACUUUAAAAUAUAUAUUUUUAUAUGAUUUUAAUGAUCUAAUAUCCAAAAAAAAAUAAAAAAAAUAAAAUUUUAAAGAAUAAAAAAUAAAUUUGAAAAGCAAAACCUCCUACCUCCUUAAAUAAAUACAUAAUAUCUCCUUAAACUAUACAAUUUGGAUCGAGAUCAAAACCCAAUACCUUGAAUUUAUUCCUGAUCCAAAUCCCAACAUUAGUCCCAACCUAAACCAUACCCUACACCAAACUUAGCCCGAACUUCAAACGUCUCAAAUCAACUUUCAUAUAUAUCUUGAUGUAGAUCAUAAAUCUCGAGCAUCCUUGACUUGAACAUGGUGCAUCUCAAACCCUAAUAAUGGCCUAGCUAUAACUAGAAGCACCUCAGACUUUGUCUUACACCAACUCGAACCCUAAUUGUUAUAAACCUGGCCCUUACCCAACUUUUGAGCGCUUUAGACUAGGUCCCAAAGAAACCUUGAUUGCUCAAGUUGACUCUUUAACCUCCUAAACCAAACCUUGAUUUCUAUGACAAACUCUUAAGCAUCCUGGUUCGGGGUCCCAACUUGAAUCCUAAGCACUCUGGUUUGGGUCUUAACCUGAACUUUAUGCACCCCAAACAAGGUCUUGGCCUAAAUCUCGAUUGCUCUGAACCUAGUUCGAACCAACUUUUGGUCACCCCGAACCAAGUGUCAGUCUAGAUCCUGGACACCUUAGACAUGGUUUAGAACCAAAUCUUAAGCCUUCUAACCCAAUUCUUGACCCAAACCCAAAACUUGGUCCUAACUAAAUCUCGAGACCCCAAACCUAGUAAUAGCCUAAAUGCUUGAGCGCACUGAACAUGCUCUUGAAUUGAACCCGAGGCACCCUGCACCAAGUCUUAGCCAUAACUCGAGAUAUAAUCCACUAAAAAUUUUAAAACCAUUUUUUUUUAAAAUUUCAUAUUUUCUUUCCAAAUAUUUGAAAAAUAAAAACAAAAAAAAAUACCAAAUAUCUUCAUUUUUAAUACUAGAUUCUCUUGAAAGUCUAAAAUAACACCUAAGAGAGGGUGAAUUAGGUUUUAAUUGAAUAUUUGAUACUUUAAGAAAUUUAAUCAUUUUAAACCUUCAAAUUUUUGGUAACAAAUAUCAAAUAUGAAAUGCACAAAUAAAAUGAGAUAAAGAUCAAGGGAGACCUACCAAGUUUAUAAUGGUUUGGACAAUCACCUACUCUACUCGUUGAAUCAUCAUUCAAAUAUUCACUAUUAACUUAUGAUUUUCUUAACGGGUGUGACCUUACCAAUACACUACUUUUUUUUAUGGGAACAAGAUUAGAAAACCUUUCACUCAUAAUCUUUUUUCAAGAUCAAGAUCUUAACUUUUCAAUGGCUCACAACCAAAUAUUUUUUUAAAUGAUUUAAGUGCUACUUACACUUUCACAAUAAAUUUUCACUCUUAAAGAUUUUUCACACCUUACAAUAAAAGGAAAUAAAUAUAAUAGAUUGAACUCAGGUCUUUAUGGAAUGUAAUCUAUCUCAAGAAUGUGGAAGGGAUGAUUGAUGCAAAUAAAGUUUAAAAUUUUGAGAGAAUUGUGAAAAUAAUAAAAGCUUUUAGAUUAAAGAGUUUAUAAGCAUAAAGUGUUGUAAGGUAAUUUACACGAGGUGAACAAGUGGUAUUUUUAGGUGAAAAUCAUCGCAUAGCCAUUACUCUCACUAAGAAAGAUGGAGUAAAAUAUUUUGAAUUUUUAAUGUAUUCUUCCAUCUAUUAAAAAAGACUAUAACACAUUUUUUAGAGAAAAUGAGUUUUCACAAGAGCUUUUGAGUGUAAAAUAAAUUAAGUAUAACUCUUUUAAAUUAUAAGUUUACCACUUAGUUAAAAAUAAAACAGUGUGAUCAAAGUGUAAGAGAUCAUUUAUUAAGUUUAUGUAAUCUAUUUAAAAAUAAUUUGAGUGAUAACAUCAAAAUAUAUGAUAAAAGAUUUUUUUCAUGAGGUAUUUUUCACAAUGUAUUGAUUUCGAUAAUGAUAAAAUUUUUGGAUAAUAAACUUGGCAAUGAAACUAUAUUUUGUGAUGUCAAAUUAAAUUAUAUAAAGACUUGAUUACAUGAAUUUAAGUUUAAACAUCUUCAAAUCAAGAUUGCGUUCAAGGAGUUCAUUUUGAUUCUAUAUGAUAAGGAGAAAUUCCUAUAACAUUAAAACUUUUGAUACACACACUAGUUAAAAUAUCAUGUAUUACUACAAAGAGCAACUUAUCAGAAAAUAUGUGUAAGUGUGAGAAAAUGUUUUUUUAAUCAUAAUUACUUGGAAUUUUAAAAUUCUAUGUUUUAAUAACAAUUUAAUUUUAUAGAAAUGUUUUUUUUAUAUAUAAUUCAGCAACAAUUAUAUGAAUAAACACAAACAUACAAAUAUAAAAUACUCACUUAAUGAACAAAAUAAAGAUUGUUUUGAAUUAUAUAUGUUAAAAUCCAUAACUAUAUCUAAAAGAACUAACUUUUUAUUGAAACAUUUGAUUAGAAAACACUUUAAAUUUUUAAAUAUCAUCUCAUGUAUUAAAAUGAUUUUAUUGGUAGAGACUAAAUAUAUUAUCUUAUUUAAGAAAAUUACAUGAAAAAAAUUCUACUCCAUAUAUAGAAAUGUUUUUUUUUUUGUGUCUUUGAGAAAAGCUUAACUCCAUUUAAGGAAAUGAUUGAUUUAUUUAAAUGACAUAGCCUAACUAUGUUUUACAUACGUAUAAUACUAUUAUAUUUAUAGCUAACUAUUUAUUAUAUACAUAUUUAUGUAUCUCAUAAAUCCUUAAAUAAUAUAAAGGGAUAAUUAUUAAUAAAUAAAAAUCAGUUCAAUUAAGAAACCCUAGAAUUCUCUCUUUCUCCUCUUUAUAAACCUCUUUAUAUAUUAUUUUUUUGGGCUAUCAUCAAUGACUAUUUCAUCAAGGACAACCCCUUCCUUUUUUCUCUUAUAAUUUUUUUUUAUUUUUCUAAUAAUUCCAGAUCGAGUUUUUGAAUCUAAUAUUUCCAAUAAUUAUAGAUUUAGGUCUAUAUGAUUUAAAAUAUAUGAUUUUAUUUGGUUUGUUGUUCUUAAUAUGUGAGGUUUUUGUUGUUGAUUUGUGUCAAGUAAAGGUUUGUUCAAAUAUCUAUAAUGAUUAAGAGCAUGAAUUUAUAGUCUUAGAGCUCAUUUGUAGUGUUAUAGUUGUUAUUUUUUAAAAUACUUUUUACUUAGAAAUGUAUCAAAAUAAUUUUUUUUUAUUUUCAGUUUUGAUAUCAACAUGUUAAAACGAUUUAAAAACAACAAAAAAAAAAGUUAAUUUGGAGCAAAGAAAAAAAUAAAAUUUUUAAAGUUUUUUCAAAAACAUUUUUAAAAUGCAAAAACAAACGAGCUUUUAAGAAGAUUUCAAGUGAUGUGAUUGAAUAAGAUGUUGAUGAAAAGAGGUUUUAAUAGCCUAUCGUGUUCUUGUUGCAUCAAUCAAAUAAAGCAUUGUAGUGUGACUUAUUUCUCAUAAGUGGUGGAAGUAGAAAAUGAGAACUUGAGGGCUCAUUUGAAUGUUUGUGAAAUACAAAGGAUGAGACGUUACUUGGAAGGUCAAUGGUUUAUACUAUAGCGAGAAAGUCUUUUUUCACUUGAUUAUAAUCGAUUACCAUGCUUGCAAUCUCUAUGUGAGUCUUGGGGAAAUUAUAAUUUCUAUGUUCUAUUUUCAAUAUUAAUAAAAAUAUUUUUUACAAAAAGAAAUUAUAAAUAAAACCCGGACCUAUGAAAUUUUUCACAAGUUAAUCCCCGACUUUUGAAAUUUUGCAACAAGUAGUACAUCAUAUUACAAUUAUAUAUUGACAUUGUUUAAAUAUGAAGAAUUAUAUAUAUAAAAGAAACAAUUGAGGAAAAUAUUGAUGUAAAUAGGGAUGAAAAUCCAUUUUAAGAGAGGAUAAAUCAUAAAAUAUUAUUAUUACCUAGUGUAUUUACAACAAGCAUUUAAGCAUCUCUAGUAGUGCAGCGGGUGUGUAUAUAUAUGCCUUGUUAAAAUUGCAUUUAAGUGUGUUUGGCUUGAAAAAAUAUUAAAUUAAUUUUUUUAAUACUUUCUGAUUGUUUUGAUGUGUUGAUGUAGAAGAUCACCCCACACAACUAGUCUUAACAAUUCGAACAUGGAUUCUUGGAUUGGCAGUGCAUCCUUCUUUCCUUUGUGAAUCAAUUCUUUCAUUAUCAUUUUAAUCAACUAUCUAUCGGUUCAGUUACAAUACAAAUUCUUGUUCUUCUUAUAGGAAAGUUCAUGGUUGCAAAACUUCCAAAGAAACAAAUUUCGAACCCGUUUACAAAAUGAUCAUUUUCAUUGAAUGCAAGGCUUUUUAGUAUGGAAGAACAUGUAUUGAUCACCAUAUUUCCAACUAUGGAGCCGGUGGUGUAUAUACAAUGUAUAUGAUUACAAUAAUUAAAGCCUUCUACCACAAAGGACUUCAUCCUGUUGAAAAUUAAACUCGAUUUCUGGUUUGUUCUGAAGAACAGAGGAACCGGUCAACCGGUUGGAUUAAAUAAAUCGUUCAACCGGUUGAGAAAUGGUCAAUCGGUUCGGUCGGCAUCAUACAAUUCCUGUUUAAAUUAUGAUUUUCUUAUAUUAGUUUAAUUUUUUAAUUAUCUAUGACUUUAUGCUUAUAAAAGGCUUGCAAUUCAACAUUAUUAAGCAGCACAAAAGAGAGAGAAUAACUAAGAGAGUUUAAAGAGAAAGACUUAAUAAAAGUAUACCUUCCUCUCAAUAUUCUUUUUGUUCUUAAGUUUUUGACUUUGCAUUACUGUUUUUGAUCUUAUGUCACACUUAUCUUUCUUCCAAUAAGUGGUAUUAGAGCUUGUUUUAGUUGUUUAUCAUGGCCAAUCCAAACUUCCCACUUCAAUAUCCUUGUUUGAUAGAAGAUAACUACGAAACUUGGUGUAUUAGAGUAAAAGCUUGGCUAGGUUUCUAAGAUGUAUGGGAAAUGGUUGAGAAAGGCUUUAAGGAUCCUAUAGAAAGAGCAAUGUGAACUUUUACUUAAAGGGAAGCUGUGCAAAAGGCACGAAAGAAGGAUAAAAAAAGCACUCACAAUCAUUCGCUAAUGUUUGGAUGAUGCCACUUUUGAGAUAAGACAAACACAACCACCGCCAAGCAAGCAUAAGAAGUUUUGCAACAAUCAAACCCAGGUUUGACAAAACAAAGGUUAAAUGCUUUAUUUUAAAAGGUAAGUCAUUAUGCUAGGGAUUGCUAGAAUCCAACUAGAAGAGUUGAGGAGAAUGCCAAUUUUGUUGUAGAAAAGGAGAAAGAAGUCCCCCUAUUACCAGUCCAUUAUGAACAAAUGCAAGCCAAUAGAAUAUGUAGCAUCUAAACAAUGGUACCAUCAAUCACAUGUAUGGAGAUAAAGACAAGUUUAUGGAGCUUGAUGAAUCAAUUAAAGGUAAUGUCACCUUUACAAAUCAUUUAAAAGUUUUCAUCAAAGAAAAAAGUAUGAUUCUCAUAAAAUUGAAAAAAUAAAAGUCAUUAAUUUAUUGGUGAUGUCUAUUAUAUCCCCAUUGUAAAGAGAAAUAUAUUGAGUUUGAGACAAUUAUUGGAGAAGAGUUAUGAGAUUAAGAUGAAAGAUUGUAUAUUGACAUUACUUGAUACUUAUGGAGCUAUGAUUACAAAGGUAAUCAUGACAAAAAAAAAAACAUAAUGUUUUUGCUAAACAUAGAGAUGGAUGUGCCUCAUUGCUUAAAGGCAUGUGUGAAAGAUGAGACUUGGCUUUGACAUAUGAGACUCAGGCAUGUAAACUUUGAUAUCUUAAAGAUGAUGGCACAAAAAGAGAUGUUGAAGGGUCUACAACCCAUUAUACAUCCAAAUCAGUUGUGUGAAGGAUGUUUACUAGGCAAACAAUUUUGCAAGAGCUUUCCAAAUGAGUUUAUAUCUAGAGCAAGUCAACCUCUACUAGAGAUACAUGCAGAUGUUUGUGGUCUUAUCAAACCAUGUUUGUUUGGUAAAAAUCUGUAUUUUCCAUUUUUUUAUUGAUAAUUAUAGUAGAAAAAGUUUUAAAAGAAAAAUCUAAUGUGUUUAAUUGUUUUAAGAAGUUUAAGACAUUAUAGUUGAAAAAAAAAGUGAUUAGUCUAUAAAAUCACUUAGGACGGAUAUGGGGUGGAUUUCAUUCUAAUAAUUUUAAUGAGUCUUGUGAAGAUCAUGGUAUAAAGAGACUCUUAAUGAUGCCUAGAUCCCCACAACAAAAUGGUGUGGUGAAGAGAAAUAAUAGAAGUAUCCUUAACAUGGUAAGAAACAUGCUCAAAACCAAGAAGAUGCCUAAAGAAUUUUGGGUUAAAGUUAUAGAUUAUGCUAUCUAUUUGUCAAAUAGGUGUCUUACUACAGGUUUGAAUGACAUAACUCUAUAAGAGGCAUGAAAUGGAAGAAAGCCAAGUGCUACUCACUUGAAAGAAUUUGGAAGCAUUAACUAUAUGCAUAUAGAUGAUCAAGUAAGGACUAAGCUAGAUGACAAGAUCAAAAGGAUGAUGUUUGUGGGCUAUAACCAAAAGUCUAAAUGAUAAAACCUCUACAACCCCAAUGAAGGAAAGAUGGUGAUUAAAGAGAUGUUGAGUUUGAUGGAGAAAAAACAUGAGAUUGGAAAGUAGAUGAUGGUGAUAAAUAUAAUUUUCUAUCGGUUCUUGAUAAAGGAGAAAAGAGAUAUGAAGAUCAUUAAUAAUGAGCUACACCUUUACAAUCACCAAUGGUGUCAUCUUCACCUUUAUCUUCUUUUUUUAGCAGAAGUUCAAGUAGUGGUAACCCAUCAAGUUCACCAAGAAGGAUAAAGAUUUUUAAUGAGCUAUACGAGGUAACUACUUUUAUUGAUUAUGAUGUGAUACUAUAUUGUUUCCUUGCUAUAUAUGAUCCUAUAGUAUUUAAAGAAGCAAUACAGAAUGCAAAAUGAAGAAUUACUAUGAACGAAGAGAUUGCAUCAAUUGAGAAGAAUGACACAUAAAAAUUAGUUCCUAGAUCAACUAGAAAGAAGCUAAUGGGUGUCAAAUAGAUCUAUAAAGAAAAGAAAAAUGCCUAAGGAUAAGUGGAGAGGUAUAAGGCAAGGUUAGUGGUAAAAAAAACUAUAGUCAAAAGCAUGAGAUUAACUAUGUUGAAGUGUUUGCUCUAGUUGCUAGAUUGAAGACCAUUCAACUAAUCAUUGUCAUAAUUGUCUAACAUAAAUGGAGAAUAUAUCAAAUGGAUGUAAAAUCAGCCUUUCUCAAUGGUUUUCUCAAUUAAUCAUUGAGCAACCCAUGAGUUAUAAAGUGAAGGGAUAUGAAGACAAGAUAUUAAAGUUGAACAAAGCCUUAUAUGGAUUGAAGCAAGCCCCAAGAGCUUGGUAUAGUCGCAUUGAUGAUUAUUUCUUAAAGAAAGGAUUUGUAGAAUGCACUCAUGAACAUUCUAUCUAUAUGAAGAUAAAAAAAAAUGAUGAUACUCUUAUUGUAUGUAGAUGACUUGAUCUUUACAGGAAAUAAUCUAAAAAUGUUUGGAGACUUCAAACAAACAAGCAAUGGUCAAGGAGUUUGAGAUGACAGACAAUGGUCAUAUGGCAUACUACUUAGGGAUUGAGAUCAAACAAUGAGAGGAUGAAAUUUUUGUAAGCUAAAACAAGUUUGUAAAAGAGAUUCUUCAUAUUCAAGAUAGAGGAUUGUGGAAAAGUGAAUACUCUAAUUGAGUGUGGAGUGAAGAUGUCAAAUAAUGAUAAAGGGGAGAAGAUAAACUCUACAACAUUCAAAAGCCUAGUUAGGAGUUUGAGAAAUUUGACAUGCACUCGUCCAAAUAUUCUUUUUGGAGUAUAACUUGUGAAUAGAUUUAUGAAGACACCAACCAUGACACAAUUCAAAGUUUUGAAUCGAAUUCUUUGAUAUAUCAAAGAUCCUAUUUAUUUUGGCUUAUUUUAUGAAUAUUAUAAUAGAUUUGAUCUUGUGGGUUAUAAUGAUAGUGAUUGGGCUAGAAAUAUGGAUGAUAGAAAGAGCACUACUGAUUUUGUUUUUUAUAUGGGAGACACAACAUUCACAUGGAGUUCCAAAAAAAAAAACAAUCUAUAAUCACUUUAUCAACAUGUGAAGAUGAAUAUGUAGCUAUUACAUGAUGUGUUUGUCAUUCCAUAUGGCUAAGAAGAUUAUUGAAAGAAUUGUGAAUGCCACAAGAGAAGCCUACAAAGAUUUAUAUGGAUAACUCAUCAGUCAUUGCCUUAGUUAAAAAUCCAGUUUUUUAUGACAAAAGUAAGCACAUUGACACAAGGUUUCAUUACCUAAGAGAUUACAUUACAGAUAAGGAAGUUGAAGUCAAGUAUAUGAAGAUACAAUAUCAAAUUACAAAUAUCUUCACAAAGCCACUGAAAAAUAAGAGGUAUGUUAGGAGUUAUAAAAAAAUCAAGUUUAAGAGGGGGUGUUGAAAAUUAAACUCAAUUUCUUGUUUUUCUGAAUAACAGAGAAACCAGUGCACCGAUUGAAUUAAAUAAAUCAGUCAUCCAGUUGAGAAACAUUCGAUUAGUUCAAUCGACAAAUAGAAUUCCUAAACAAUAUAUAUACCUUCCUUUAAAUCUUCUUUUCCUUCUUAAGUCUUUGACUUUACAUUAUUAUUUUUAAUCUUAUAAUAUUUAUUUUUAAUCUUAUAGCACACCUAUCUUUCUUCCAACACAUCCUAUAUCUGCUAUGUUGCUAGCACAAAACACUCAGGUAUUGUUUCUAUGUAUAUUAUAAUGUUUCCUGGCACUUGAUGCCAUUCAGUUGCUUGGUUAUGGAUGGGCUGGUACGUUCAGAAAAAUUCUCGAGGAUUCGCCUUACAUGUGGUGGCCUGCAACCCUUAUCCAAUCUCUCUAUUCAGGCAUGUACUACUGCGAUCUCUCUAGAUCUUUCUUCCCUUGUGUAAUCGUGCAUGCAUAUUUAUGCAAACUGCGGGGCAUUGCAUGAGAAGGAAAAGAGAAAAAAAGGAGAACGUACAAGGCUGCAAUUCUUUGCCAUUGUCUUCGUUGCAAGCUUUGCUUACUAUAUUGUUCCUGGCCACUUUUUCCCUUCACUAUCAGCUCUCUCCUUAAUUUGUUUGCUGGAUAUGGAAGCGCUCGGUCACCGCUCAACAGAUUGGUGCAGGGUUAAAUGGUCUUGGAAUUGGCUUUUUGUUUUUUUCAAUUUCAAGACGCAACAACAAGAGAAGACAAAGAAUUAUUACAGAGAGUAAGGCAAAUCUAAGAGGGUGAGAUCCUCUCUUGGGAUCGAGACCGAAAAGAGAAGGAAUUAUUGCAGAGAGCUUGGGCAUGACUUUGAGAAGGGAAGGCUUCUUGUUCUACUUCGGUUUUCGAAGAGGGAAUUAACGGCUGUUUUGGUUUUGACUUUGGCUUUUUUCAUAGAUACGUAGGAAUAGCAUUUUAGUAAAAGAAAAGGAAUUUUAGUUAUUGUUUUGGUUGUCCUCUUGGAGUUGUUAAAACAAAGAAUGAAGUGAGAUUUUUUUUUCUUCUUGGCUUCAGGCAUUGGAGAUGCCCUUACCUCGUGUAUUUAUAGCAUAUACAUCAUUAGACUAGAAUCCUUCAAAGUAGGUAAAUCCUGGCUGGCCCCAUUGGCCUAGUUUUUUGUCAGAAAAUGAUGCAGGAUUCAUUUCUUUUUCAUAUGAAUCAUCAGAUGCAUGUUUACUAAGUUGGCGGAAAACCAAAUUUAGGCAAGGGCUUCCUUGACUGUGAAUGAAUGGCUAUUACAUAAUAGAAUUUGUCUUUUUAUUGCAAACUGUCAGUCAAUGCUAGAAUAUAGAAGGCAUGUUCCAAAUAAGGACAACGUAGGAUCUGUAUAUAUAGGUUUGAUAAUGUUUGUGUUGCUUUGAAGGACUAUCGAUCCUCAUCCUCUCUCUCCCUGGGAAAACAAAUUAGGAGACAUAGAGAGGGAAGCUAAGAAACAUGGCAAAUUUAGUCGACGAAGCAGCGCCCCAAUUCAAGUUGCCUGAUCAUGAGAAGCAUCAUUUUGAAAUUGACGAAGCAGGUAAUCAACCAUAUGCAUCUCCUCUUCUCUCUCAUAUAUAUAUAUAUAUGGUUUUUGUUCAGAAAAAGUUGUUUUGUUAAAUACUGCUAUACAAUAUUUUUUCACAGACAAAUAUUAAAGUUGAAGAUGCUUGCUUUGUAAACAUUUAAUAUUUUUAGCAUGCAUGGUUAAGUCGGGUACAGUUUGUAAUGAAUAAUAUUUUAUGGCUUGCUUAUGUAGAGGCUGAAGAAGUGAACGAUAAUCCAAUUGAGCAAGUCAGGCUUACAGUUCCAAUCACCGAUGACCCUACACAGGCAGUCUUAACAUUUCGAACAUGGGUUCUUGGGUUGGCAGCGUGCAUCCUUCUUUCCUUUGUGAAUCAAUUCUUCCAGUAUCGUUCUAAUCAGCUAUCUAUCGGUUCAGUUACAAUACAGAUUCUUGUUCUCCCCAUAGGAAAGUUCAUGGCUGCAAAACUCCCAAAGAAACAAAUCUCGAUCCCAUUUACAAAAUGCUCAUUUUCAUUGAAUCCAGGGCCUUUCAACAUGAAAGAACAUGUAUUGAUCACCAUAUUUGCCAACUGUGGAGCCGGUGGUGUAUAUGCAGUGUACAUUAUUACAAUUAUCAAAGCCUUCUACCACAGAGGGCUCCAUCCUGUCGCUGCUAUGUUGCUAGCACAAACCACUCAGGUAUAAAACACACACACACACAUGUCAAAUGUUUCUAUGUAUCUUAUAAUGUUUCCUGGCACUUGAUGCAAUUCAGUUGCUUGGUUAUGGAUGGGCUGGUACGUUCAGAAACAUUCUUGUGGAUUCGCCUUACAUGUGGUGGCCUGCAACCCUUAUCCAAGUCUCUCUAUUCAGGUAAGUACUGCUUCGAUCUCUCUAGAUCUUUCUUCCCUUAUCUUGAAAAAACCUCUAUGGAAAGUCUGUUAAUUAAACACUUGUGUAAUGGUGCGUGUAAUGGUGCAUGUAUAUUUAUGCAAACUGCAGGGCAUUGCAUGAGAAGGAAAAGAGAAAAAAGGGAGAACGUACAAGGCUGCAAUUCUUUGCCGUUGUCUUCGUUGCAAGCUUUGCUUACUAUAUUGUUCCUGGCCACUUUUUCCCUUCACUAUCAGCUCUCUCCUUUGUUUGCUGGAUAUGGAAGCGCUCGAUCACCGCUCAACAGAUCGGUGCAGGGUUAAAUGGUCUUGGAAUUGGCUCCUUUGGUCUUGACUGGGCGACUGUUGCCUCUUUCUUGGGAACUCCUCUAGCUUACCCUUUCUUUGCCAUUGUCAAUACUAUGGUUGGUUUCAUCUUGGUUAUGUAUGUCCUUGUCCCCAUAGCAUACUGGUCUAACUUUCGUGAAGCCAAGCGAUUUCCCAUAUUUACCUCUCACACUUUUGAUGAAGAUGGUCAGAUAUUCAACAUUACCCGUGUUCUUAAUGAGAAAACAUUCGACCUUAAUCUAGUGGAAUACGAGAAUUAUAGCAAACUCUAUUUAAGUAUCUUCUUCGCCUUCUUAUAUGGAUUGAGUUUUGCAUCUCUAACAGCUACCCUUACUCAUGUUGCUCUUUUUGACGGAAAGUAAGUCAUCUUCCUCAACAUUAAUUUUAUUUAAUUCCAGCCUAAUUAAUUAUUUUUUGUUUGUUUGUUUUGAUAUAGAAUUUUCUUUUGAGCAGAAAUAUCAUAAACAUGUGGAAGAAGACGACAACUGCAGUGAAAGACGAGUUUAGUGAUGUGCACACAAGAAUUAUGAAGAAGAACUAUGCAGUAGUCCCUCAAUGGUGGUUUACUGCCAUCUUGGUUAUAUCACUGGCUCUUUCGCUUCUGGCUGUGGAAGGUUUUGACCAUCAGCUUCAGCUUCCUUGGUGGGGACUUCUCCUAGCCUGUUUCAUUGCUCUAAUAUUCACCUUACCCGUUGGAGUCGUUCAGGCGACAACAAACAUGGUAUGAUCUUGUCUUUUGGGAAGCAAUAGACACACACACACUCCAUCACUCAUGAACUGUGUAAACAUUUAUGCAGCAAAUCGGACUGAAUGUGAUCACAGAAUUGGUUAUUGGGUACAUGUACCCAGGGAAGCCUCUUGCUAAUGUGGCUUUCAAGACGUAUGGCUACAUUAGCAUGACACAAGCGCUCAGUUUUCUCGGUGACUUCAAAAUAGGGCACUAUAUGAAGAUCCCCCCCAAAUCUAUGUUCAUUGUACAGGUAAAUCUUUAUGCUCAUCACCCUCUAACUAGUCUAUUUCAUUUAAAUAUAGGAUACUAAUUUGGUUUUAUUGUGUCUACAGCUAGUUGGAACAGUAGUUUCUUCCUUUGUUUACUUUGCCACAGCAUGGUGGCUUCUCUCAUCUGUUGAAAACAUCUGCAAUCCAGACUUGCUUCCUGAUGGGAGUCCUUGGACCUGUCCUGGAAGCGAUGUCUUCUACAAUGCUUCAAUCAUCUGGGGAGUAGUAGGACCUCUCAGAAUGUUCACAGACAAGGGAGUCUACCCGGAGCAGAACUGGUGGUUCCUCAUUGGUUUCCUUGCCCCAUUUCCAAUGUGGUUUCUCCAGCGCAAAUUCCCUGAGAAAAAAUGGAUCAAGUUGAUUCACAUUCCCCUUAUCCUUAGUGCCUCAUCAGCCAUGCCAUCAGCGAAAACUGUGCACUACUGGUCUUGGGCAUUUGUUGGAUUUAUCUUCAACUACAUUAUUUACAGGAGGUACAAGGGAUGGUGGGCUAAGCACACCUACAUCUUAUCAGCUGCUUUGGAUGCUGGUGUUGCCUUCUUGGGAGUUAUCCUUUAUUUUACCCUUCAAUCCAAGGAUAUUUAUGGCCCAGCUUGGUGGGGUGCUGACGUUUCUGACCAUUGUCCAUUGGCAAAAUGUCCUACAGCAGCAGGGAUUAAGGUCAAGGGAUGCCCUGUUCUCUAAGAAAGAUUGAGAAAUUCUACAUCUUUUAAACUAUAGGAAUUUGCGCAAGGAAACUAUAUGAAAAAUUUGGUCGGUGACGUUGAUAGAGACUGCUUAAGGGAAAUAAAGAAGACAAAGCAGUGAAGUUCAUUAAUUCAGAAGAUGUUUAGUCAAACACGCACAGCAGUUGUACAUAACAAUUAACAUGUUGUCUUCAUUCUAUAUUCCUAUUAUUGGUUUUCUUUUUUCUUUUUCAAUUUAUCGUAUGAUCUCAAUGAUACCAGUCUCUGCUUCUACAAAUGCUAGAAUGCAUCUAAAAAGUUCUGCAACUUUUCCAUGAUCGUUGAUGAUAUCCUUUGGCAAAGGAAUAUUCAAUAUUUUUUUAUCGAAAAAACGAAGGAAUUGAAGAGGACCUUAAUAAUGCAAUAUUUCAAGGGUAAAUUCUUUGAUUUUUCAGAAACGAAACAUCAAGCCAUCAAAUGCAAUCAAUUAAUAAUAGAAAAUUUUCCUAUCUUCAUCAUCAAGAAAAAAAAGAAAAGAAAAAGAAAAGAAAAAGAGAUUUUUACCUUCAGAAUUGCCUUCAUAGUCUCUCAAUUUCACCCAAAUUCUUUUCUCCCCAAAUUCUUUUCUCCCAUUUCUCUAUCUCACCACCCUUGUUUUUGUAAUCUUUUAAUUACAUUCUCUUUUUGAUGUAGAUGAGCUUGUGAAAAUCAAAAGUUAUGAACAUUUGGGUAAGAAUAUGACAUAAUGAGAUGGAAAUCUAACACUGACAUGCUAUAUGAAUAGUCUAACAUAUCCUUGAAUAGCACGUGUAGAGGUUUCUAUAUAAGUGAACCUUCAGCCAUAUACAGAAGGGUUCUUUCCUUUCGACUGUGAAAAUCUUCACUGGACGGGGAAAGAAAGAGAGGAAAAAGAAAAACAUAGCAGAGGAGUAAAGAGAGAGAGGAGAAAGAAAACAGAGUGAGGCGAGAAGAUAAUAAAAAAGAAAGAAAACAGAGGGAAUAAGAAGAAGGCUGAGAAUAAAAAACUAAGAGAACAAAAGAGGAAGUCUUUCUUUGGUUAUCAGAGGCAAAAGGCAGAAGUUUUUCCAUCGGUUUGUGUCUCAUCUUCUACAUUCAAAAUGUGUAAGAUCCGCAGGUAUGAGUCGAUUUCCUUUCUCUUUGACAUAUUUAAAGCUAUUUGUUUGGUUUUGUUUCUUUUCAAAAACUUGUUUCUACUUUUGUUUCGGGCGUUUUUUUUUUCUAUUUUGACAACAAAGUUGUGUUGCUUGUCUAUUGUUUUUUUCUUCCAUGGUUUAAAGCUUAGAAGGAAGGUUUGUGUAUUCUUUGUUUUUACUUCUCGUUGUGAGGAACCAUGAGCCUCAUAGGUCUUCAUCAUCCCUGCACUCCUUGCUCGGCUGUCUUGAUGUCCUAGAAUAUUGCAUAGGAGAGUUUUCUUCUAAACAUAACUUCGUCCAGAGGAGAACAUAAAAGCGCGAGAGCAUUUCCUUUGUAGGGUUUGGUCUUUUUAGGCAGGCACUUUUGGUUAUGUUUUUUCCUUCCUAUUCUUUCAAGGUGGUUUAGUCGGCCAUUUGAUUUUUUGUUUAUCUAGUUUAGUCUUUAAUAUACGGGGUAUAGAGGCAUGUUUUCCAGGUUUCUUUCCUCUUGCAUGAAACUAGCAUGGUAGUGUCAGAGAUUAGGAAAAAAGGAUAGGCAUGAGACACGGUUUCUGUUUCUGUUAUAAGGCUUUGAGUUCAACUUUUUUUUUAUGCAUGAGGACUUGUGCUUUUCUUUUGAGAAUAAUAGGCAGACUUAUAUUCAGGCUUCAAGUUUAAGUUCCUAUGUUAGGUCUCAAUUGUUUGAUUUGAAUUGUUUUAAGCUUCCUACAAAUUUUGGAAUAUAUAUGUGUACGGUUUGUUUCUUUAAUUGUGAUACUUGGUUUAAUUGUGUUGUUUGUGUUUCGACAAAACAUAAAAAUUUUCUUGUAUGUUGCAUACGGUCAAUACUCAAACAUAUUUUGAACAUUUCUUUUAAAAAAAAAUAUUCAAAGUUUAAAAGAAAAUGUGUUUUAGCAUGGAUUUCUUAAAUACAAAAAUUAUUUUCUUGUAUUUUGGAUUUUACAAUAUGUUUGUAAACUCUAAAGGGUGUUGGCCAAUAUUACAAAAAUAUAAAAAUCUUAUUUUUAGAGAAUUGAUCUUCAUUCACCAUUAAUAUUUGGAUAGAAAAAUCUAAAAGGGUUAAUAUCUAAAAUAUUAUUGGGAAUAAUUUGCUAUUAUUCACUGUUAAUAUCUGGAUAAAGAAACCUCAAGUGGUUAAUAUCCAAAAUAUUUUUCUAGAAAUAACAAGUCAUUAUCCCUUAAUAAUAUAAGGGCAAAGAGUUCUAUGAAAGGUAAAUGUCCAAAAUAUUGUUGAGAGUAAUACAACUUGUUCAUUUUUAACAUAAGGGCAGAUUUAUGCCUAAAAUAUUCUUUAGAACAAUUUAAUUGCACAUCCUUGAAAGAAGCCUCAAUUAUAAUUGGGGACAUUUCAAAUUUUGAUUCCACGGUUUAUGAGUUGUGAAAGUGUGAAAUACUAAGGGAAAAUUGACAAUUUAAUUGCACAUCCUUGAAAGAAGCCUCAAUUAUAAUUGGGGACAUUUCAAAUUUUGAUUCCCCAGUUUAUGAGUCGUGAAAGUAAGAAAUACUAAGGCAAAAAUAGGCUUUUAAAACACCUUGAAUUUUCUUAGAUUUCUAACUUAGUUUUUUUUUUGUUUCUUUUUCUUGCGAUUUACGAGUCGCGAACACUUAAAAUAUUAAAGUGGAAAAUGAGCUUUUAAGCACAUUGAAUCUCCUUAGAUUUCCAUCUUAGCUAUCUCUUAAUUCAUAGGUUGUAAAUUUAUUUCAAAUCAAACACAGAUUCAAGAGAUAUGUAUCAGUUCUCCUUGACACUAUAUAAACAUAUCUAAAGGUAUGAUUCAUAUUGGCCAAGAAUUCUUUCUUUUAGACUUUGAACCCAAGUCCAUUCAUCAUAGCAAACUCAUCUUAGGAAAAUUGAUUAGAGAACACCAACACCAUAGCAAUUAUAAGGCAAACCAAACACCAAGCAAAUUACCUUAGGUAGGGCGUACUAGUGGUGCUAAAACUUUCCAUUUACGCAACCAGUUCCUUGCCUUAGAAUCUCUAAAGACCAGUUAGGGUUCCUAGUGACCAUAAUACUAGGUGACGACUUCUUUUUUCAUAAAAUAAAGACCCUGAAAUCAAUUCCCCUGCUCCGGGAAGGGUCGCCGCGACGCCGCACUCUCGCGAAGGUGCAACAGACACGAUGAUUAACCAAGACUAUUAAAAUGAUCAAAACAUCCUCGUGUGGAAAAGUUACUCCCUCAAUGUCUUCUAGGGUAAACAUAAUAAUUUCAUGACAUGCAUUUGGAAGGCGAGCAGUAGUAAGGACUUACUUUUUAUAUUUCCUUUUUCCACUUCCACUAUCACCUCUUGUCGAGAUUCCACCUAAAAUAACAUUAAUCUCCAACAAUACUUGGUUGGGUUGGUUGGACUCUUCUCCGUAUAGGUCAGCACGGGUAUCCCUCCUUACAAACUGUUGGACAUAGCCCUUGGCUAUUGCUUGACCGCUUUUUAUGUUCGGCUUGUUUUAACUCGCAAGUGCACGAGUGUGCGAUGUAGCAAUUAACUCGGUAAGAUCGAGGUCAUAUCCACAGAGAGCUAGAUCUGGAAAUUAAGUUAGGUAACAAAAGAAACUCAAGAGAAAUUAAAUUAACAAUAACUUGGUUGAAAAUGAUUGAUGGAUUUGUUUUCAAAGAUGAAAAGGUGUAAAUAGAUUUUAAAUGACAAGAAAAAGUAAGUCUUGGUCCAAAUCAAUUCUAAUGGUGAUGUAUUGGUGAUUCCUUCAACAUAUAAAAGAUAACUCAACCUAAUAUCAACGAUGGUGAUAUUAGAUCGGAAGAUAUUACAAUGAAGUUUAAAAAGAUGAAGAUUGAUUAUUGCUUAAGAAUGAACAAGUACUUUCAUAUUAAGUAAGACAUUGAAUCAAGCAAUCUCUAUACCAAAACUAAGGUUUGUGCAUAAAAAUUCAAGAUUAUAACAUUACCUAAAUGAUUUCUAAAAUUUCUUUGCAAUAAUAAAACAUUCAUGAAGAAAAUAAGAAGAUAAACAUUAAGAUUCAUUCAUAUAUUAAAGAACUCACCUCAAUCACCAUCAUCCUUGAUUUGGAUCCAAGAAGGAGAUUAGCCAACCAUGAUUAUAUAUAAGAACUCUUCAAUAAACAUGAAAUAACUUGAAUCACACUGAAAUAAUAAGUUUUACAAGCUAAAGAACCGAAAUCUAUAAAGAAGAAUACAACACAAUUUCAGUAAAUAUUCGGACACAAAUUUGACUCUAACUUUGGACAGCAAUUCGACCCUUUUAGAAGCCUCUUUUGAAGAUGGCUAUUAAAGACAUAUUUAUAGGCCAUUCGGUUAGCUUUCCAGAUCAUUAAAGAACAGAUCAUUUGGACAUCUGAGUCAAAAGUUAUGUGCAAAACACCAAAAGGUAUUCUGGAAAAUCAAAUCAGGCCAGCUUGGAGAACACUUUGGUGCACGUUUUUCUUCCUCCUUUGUGAGCUGUCUCUUUCUUCUUUUUGACCAAAAAUAAUGUGACAAUGUCCCCUCCAGCUUUCCAUCCAUGUGCUUGCCCUCUUGGAUCAAUGAAUUAUCCAAAAUAAAUCAAAUGUUAUUUGUUGUGUGGACAUGUAAGAUCAUGGAUUGUGCUUAGGCUGAUUUGGAGGCUGAUUUGAGGCUGAUUUGGGGCUGAUUUGGGGCUGAAUUUAAGCAUCAAAUAAGGAUACAAAUGUACCUAUUAUUUGGGCUAAGAUUGACAUUAAAACCUUGAGUGUUUGAUGGUUGAAGUUUGCACACAACAUAAGGCAAGUUUGGGCUUGAAAUGGAUCAUAUGAUAUUCUUUUCUAGAAUUGGAAUAGAAUUGAUUUUUGGGGCAAAUUUGGAGCACUUAUUUGAACCAAGAUUUUCUUCAAUCUUCAACUAAAUUUCUCUUCAAUUCUUUGUUCCGAAUUCCGACGUUGAAUUUUCUGAAAUAAUUCAUUUAAGCUCCAAAAACCUAUCGAAACAUUAAAAGAAACUUCAUUACUAAAAAGCACAUCAAUUAUUAUAAAAAAACCCAAAUAAAAACAAUAAAUACAUAUGUACAAUAAGAGACUUAAUGAUACUUUUGAUGCACAAUCAGCUAUCAACCGCUCAAUCUCAUUCUUCAAGGUAUAGCAUUGUUCGAUUUCAUGCCCCUUAUCCCAGGAGAACAUGCAAUACUUAUUAGAGGUUCGUGUAUACGGAGUGGUUUUCAUUGGCAGCGGAUAUUGGACAAAUUCAUUACCUAUAAUUAUGGUAUAGACUUGAAUGAUAAUGGUGUUCAAUGAAGUGAAAAACCUAUCAGGAUAUGGCAAUUGAUUAUGGGAUGACCUUAAAGAUCGAGUUCUGAAUAGGGGAACGAUUCUACCUAGAAGGUCCUUCAGGUUGACUAUCCUUAUAAAAACAGGGAGGUUCGUAUCGCAACACACUUGCCUCUUCCACCUGUAUAUGAUUCUUCAUGACUUGUUUCACCUUAAGCAAAUAUUUUUUAGGUAAGGCAUAAAGGUCUCUAUUGAUUAUAGCCUUUAAGCCCCUGGCUUAAUCAACUCUUCCACUUUAAGAAUCUCCUCAUUAAACCUCUUCAAAUAUACCCUUAUGGAUUCACCAUCUGAUUGGGUAACCCCAAAAACCUUUAUAGAACUCUUCUUUAUAGGUAUAUUUGUAUUGAAAUACGCUACCAGUUUAGGUCAUAGAUCUCUGAAUUCUUCAAAAGAAUCUAGUUCCAAGUUGUUACACUAGGCACAUGCAGACUCUCUAAAGGUUAUAUGGAGUAUUUCACAUUGCGUCACUAUCUUAAAUUACCAACUCCAAGCUACUAAGCAUAUUUUGCACACGUUCUCUUGGAUCGACAAGACCAUCAUAGUUAUCCAAGCUCAUAGUUAUAGAGAUAUAGUCUUGAGGAAUCCGAUUAUUCAAUACUUUUCUAGACAAAGGGAAGCCCUGCACAUGAUGGAGUUGUAGGUAGCUUCUUGGAUAUGCUCAAAGGUUGAUCACCUUUCGAUUUUUUAUCUGCUGGGUUCCAGGGUGCAAAAGUACUGUGGUGUGGAAUAGAAGGAGUGGUGAUUGUUAUCUGUCUCAUAAUAAUGACAAGUAGCACGCCUUGAAUACCUGUUUUAUGUAAAGGUAUCACAAUGAUAAGAGUGAUCCCUCUUGGGACUUGAGCCCACAGGUGAUGGAUAUGAUCUGAGUAAUUAGGCCCAUGACUAUUAUGGGCUUGUGCUAAAAGUGAUCUUUCUAUGUAGUAUUAAAAAAUACUAAUAAAUCUUGAUCCAUCACAAGGGAUGAGAAAAUAUUUGUUGGGUAUAAGAGAAUGAGAGGGAGAGAGCACAAACAAAAGCAACUUUGGUUAAAGGGAGGAUAGAGAGAUGAGUGUUGGAUUUGAUAAAACAGGCAUGAAGUUGUUUUACCUCAAAUAUAGUGUUGGAAUUGUGGAUAAAGAGAUCAUUAUUUUUUAGGUUUUGAGAAGUGAGGGAUGAUGGUGGGAAAUAGAUAAGGGAAUAAGAUAGAGAGGAAGAGGACAUAAUUUCCUUAUCCAUUUUUAGUUCAUAUUUACAUAUUAUUCUUGGACAAACUGGGCAGCAUACAAAAUGAAAAGAAAUGGUGAAUCAACGCAGCAGCAAAAAGUUUAGAUGAAAUAGCACAUUUUUUAUGUCGUGGUUCUAAAUUUUGAUAUUUAAUUAAUGUCGUGAUUCAAAAAUGCAAAAUUUGAUUAAAUGUUGUGUUUCUGAACAGUGAAAUCAAUUAAAAUUUUAUCACGAUUUAGAACCGUGACAUUUAAUCAAAUGUCUCAUUUUAAAUCACGAUAAAAUUUUAAUUGAUAUGAUACUAUUAUUUACAUCAGGAACAAUAGUGCCAGCAUAAUAAUAUAACAUAAAUAUGUUAUAAGAGAAACAAAUCAGAUUCUAGUCAAUUAGACGUAAUUUUAACUAAAUUACAUUACUCCAACCCUAAUUGACAAAAUUCAUAGCAAAUUCAAUUAAAUUCUCAAAAUUUAACAUAAAAGCAAACUUCACCAAAAUUAAAUAUAAUUCAUGAUAUGAAAUCUAAUGGAUAUUUUCAUAAUUAAUUGUAUUAAAUCAAACCCAUAUUCAUAGAAAAUUAAAAUAAUUCAAAGAAAAUAUCAAAUUCAUCAACUUAUCAUUAAUCCUAUACAACGUGUAAUUUGUCAUAAUCUUACUGUAUUCAUGUUCUAUUGCUUGAAAUUGUCAAGCAUAGUUAAUUAUAUUAUUAGCUGAUUCUAACAAUCCACCCAAAAUCUCUAAUUUAGCAACUUAUCCAAAAUUAAAUGCAACACAUAAUUAAUUUAAUAUUAAUAUAACUUAUUUUCAUAUUCUACUACAUCCUAUCAACCCUAAUUGAUGAUAUUUUAAACUAAUUUAUCAUUACUUCAACAAACCCUAAAUUCUUCGUUCUUCUCAUAUCCACACAAAAUCUGAGUUUUUUUUUCAAUUUCAUCCCUUAGAAUUUGAUUUUUAUACCAACUACGAUCCUUAUUUUAUUGAUUGUUAUUUGUUCUUCUCUUAUCCUUUUCUUAAUUGAAAUUUUUUAUUUAUCAAAUUUUAUACAUAUUCUUUUAAUUGCUAUUUAUUUUAUAUGAAAUAAUUUAUAAAAUUGAUUUUUUAAAAUUUUAUCCUCUUUUGAUUUUUUUUUAUUUGUUAGAUUUAGUCUCUAUUCUUUUGAUUGCUAUUUGUUUUAUUUGAAAUAAUUUAUGCAAUUGGAUUUUUUUUCCAAUUUCAUCCUCCUUUAAUUUUUUUAUGUAUGUCACAUUUGGUCCUUGUUCUUUUAAUAAACUUGAAAAAAAAUAAAAAAUUAAAAAGUUAUUUUUCAGUUCAUUUUCAAUGACAUAGCCAAAUACCGAAAAGUGUUUUCCAACUUAUUUUCCAUGACACUACCAAACAUCAAAAAAUAAUUUGAUUUCUAAGAACUCAUUUUUCAUUACAACCACUUUUCAAAAGAAAACUACUUUCCAGCAAAUAAACGGGGACUAACUGUUGAAUUGAUUUCGUCAAAGUUGUCCACAACAAGGCUUUGGCAAUGGCUACGUUAAAUGUCAUUCGACUAUUUAAGUGGGUCAUGUUACGCCGUGUGCCUAGUCAAAUUUUUUCAAUGUAAAAAAAAAAUGUCUAGGUGGUGAUAACCUUAAGCAACUUGGGAUAAUUUGAUUAACUCGCUACCCGAGAUAUGAGAUCGGGAUAACCAUGUAAAAAGAAAAGAGGAAUAAACCAUAAAUCUCAAUGCUCAAUAAUCUAAUGUUAAAGGAUGACAUUGAGGGAAAAAAACAUCAAAGAAAAAAAAAUCCAAGUCAAUUCAGAUUAACUUGACUAACCUACUACACGUGAAACAAGAGUGGGAUAAGAAAUUUAAAUUAAAAAAAAGACAUAGAAUAAAAGACCGAAGUUAAAUCAAUACAAAAAUUUUGAAAAAGAAACAUAAGUCUACCUGGGUUAACUUUACUAACUCAAACCUGAGAUAACCUAAUAGAAAGGAAAGUGGAAAAAUCACAAAGCUGAAGAGCCUAUAAUUUAAUGUCAUAGGAUAAAGGUAAAAAAAAAUCAAUUUAAAAAAAUAUCAAGAAAAAAAAUUCAAAGAAAAAUCAAUUUGUAAAAAAGAAACUAAAAAAAAAAAGAUUGAACUUAAACGGGGCUAAAAUUCAAAACCAAUGACUCGAGUAAUGAGACUAGGAUUAACACAUAGAAGGCAAACACGAAAAAAUAAUGAAGCAAAAUUUCCAAUCUUAAAAUAAAUUAAAAAAAAAACAAACAAACAAAUAACAAUCAAAAUAAUGAGAACCAAAUCUAAUACAAAAACUAAAUGAAAGAAAAUAAUUAUGGAACAAACUCAAAAACAAAAUAAAAUAACCAAAUAAUAAAGAAAAUAGCAAUCAAGAGAAUGAAGACCAAGACUGUAAACAAAAAUUAAAUAAAAUAAAAUGUUAAAAUUGAAAAAAAAAACAAAAACAAACAAAAAAACAACAAUAAAAAAAAAAAAAGUCAACCACUACGAAUUAAACGCACACUCCACUUUCAUCGGCUGAACCACCAUGAAUUGAACACACGCUCCACAUCCAUCAAUUAUGCCUCCACCAGAGCUUUUGAGUGAUUAGUGGUUCGCCUUUUUUUUUUCUCGUCAAACGUCAUCACACAUGUUACCCAAAAAACACGGGUAGCAUUAUUAUACACACGCACCAAUAACUUUUUUAUUUUUAUGAGAUUUAUUAUUUAUUAAAAUACUAAUUUGCCCCUCAUGCAAAUUGAAAAUGAAAAAAAAAUCAUAAUAAAAAGAUAUAAAUACCCUGAUAGCAAGUUUUGCAUUUUUUUUUUUUAAGUAUUUUAAUCUUUUAGCUAUUUUGAUUAAAAAAAAAAACUGAAAUCCUUGUUAGCCAAACAAUUGUUUUUUAUUCCAAAGGUAAAUAGUAACUGCACUAUACAACAACAAUGUAAAAAUGUGAGGAAUUUAAUUCAUCUCAUUGAAUUUGAAAAUACCAAUUAAACUCAAUGAAAAAAUCAUUUUACCUCUUAAUCCACUCUUUUCUUGCUAUAAUUUGAACAAGAAAAAUAUCAUUACACUAUAAUCCACAAUAUAGCAAUGCCAUGUGUCUUCCUAUAGCAGAGCCCCUUUAUUUAUUUAUUUAUUUUUAUUUUUUUUCCUGAGGCUUGCCUUUCUCGAGUUAUUGGACUGCUAGCAUACUAGCAUAUUCUUAUUGAGAUGAGGUAGUGGGAGGCACUACCCCACAUCGACUACCAGCAUACUAGUUGGCCCUUUUUUCUAGCCUUACCUCUCCAGUACAAAUAUUCUUUUUGAAUUCAAUUGUAUGAGGGCUAAUGCUUUGCCCUCAAGAUCGCACAACGAGCUUCCAAUGAAGAACAGAUCACAUGAUAUAGCAUCAAUACAAGAACUCU
rnacentral:lncRNA from 1 species